GUCCCGACACGUUUCCGGCCUCGCUCGGCAAUCUCCGUCGUCCAAGAAGCUCGAGACUUCCCCUCGACGCCGACUUAUCGCCGGUGGCUUCUUGACCCCGGCCACUCGUCCUCUCCGCCGAUAACCGAGCGGAUCGUUAUUGUUCGCCGAUGGUGGAGUGCGCGGCCGUGAGUCACGUUCGAACGACGCUCCUGCCCGUCGAUUCCCGUUGGUGAACGAUGACGAGCCGCGACUCUUGAACGUAAAAAGGGCCACCUAGGUCCGUCUUCCCGGGCGACGCGGGUAGCGUCUCGGCGUGCGGCUCGGAGGAUGAAUGCGGCGUUUCAUCUUCGACCGUGUUUGCGCGUGUUGGCGCGUCCCCCAUUGGCGUAGCGAUCAACGAUCUCCUUGUCCCUCUUCCGCCCCUCCGAGGAGGUCCGAAGAACGAGGCUCUCUUCUCUCGGCGCGUCUCUCGGCGCGUCUGGGCGCAAUCGAUGGCUCCGCCGAGUCGCUCCGCUCGAUUCAACUCGAUUCAACUCGAUUCCAGGAUCCCAGGAGACGAUCACGGCAAGUCCUCUGGCCGGCACCGCCCGUGACCACGAUCCGAAUUUCGGCCGCGGGCCGAAAUGGUUUUUACCCGCCCCGCUCGUCCUAUCUCAUCGUUUUACAGGGCCGCGACUUACGCAUCGAGCUCUCUACCCGCACUUCCCGCUCGGAGGAAACGAGUCGACAAUCCUGUCCUGUUCAUAAGUACUAGUGCCGCAGGAGUGACUAGGCUGCACUAGAAAUGACAGGGUCUCCUGCUGCUCAAGUGCUUAUCAAUGGGUCGGGACGCACACCGCAACGCACGCCGCAACGCACGCCGCAACGCACGCCGCAUUGCCUCCCGAACCUGUAACUGUAAAUCGUUUCGAAUAAACUUGUAAUCAGACACGA